CCGCUCGCUGCAAGCUCCGCCCCCCGGGUUCCCGCCAUUCUCCUGCCUCCGCCUCCCGAGGAGCUGGGACCACAGGCGCCGCCACCGCGCCCGGCUCAAGUUUGUAUUUUUAGUAGAGACGGGGUUUCACCGUGUUAGCCAGGACUAACAGGACUGUUAGUCAGGUCUCGAUCUCCUGACCUCGUGAUCCACCCGCCUCGGCCUCCCAAAGUGCUGGGAUUACAGGCUUGAGCCACCGCGCCCGGCCGAGAAAGGUAUUGAUUUUAAACUGAUUAAAUGAAAUAACCACAUGUCAACCUGGGGGAAAGACUGAGUGAAGACCAUCAUGAUCAUCUUGAAACUCAAAGGAAUUUGCAACCAGAAUGGCUUAACUUUGAAAACAGGGUUGAAGAGGGCCAGUUGAAGACACAGAUGUCCA
rnacentral:lncRNA from 1 species